rnacentral:rRNA from 1 species
GACGAACGCUGGCGGCAUGCUUAAUACAUGCAAGUCGAACGCUGAAGCACUCUGCUUGCAGAGUGCGGGUGAGUGGAGAAAGUGUGAGUAACAUGAGGGACAUCCGCCUAUAAGAGGGGGAUAACAUUCUGAAACGGAUGCUAAUACCGUAUAUAUUCUUGCAGCGCGGGGUCGGUGAAAGAAAGACGGCUUUGCUGUAGCUUAUAGCUGAUUCCGCGGUGUUUGGGUUAGUUGGUGGGGUAAAGGCCUACCAAGGCAAGCAUGCGUUGCCGACCUGAGAGCGUGAUCGGCCACACGGGGACUGAGACACCGCCCAGAGUCCUACGGGAGGCACCAGUAUCGAAUGGUCGGCAAUGGGGGGAAGCCUGAUGGAACGAUGCCACGUGAAUGCAGAAAGUCUUCGGGUCGUAAAGUUGUGUUCUGGGUGAAAACCAAGUUAAGGAGUAACUGACUUGUGUGUGACGGUACCUGCACAAAAAGCAACGGCUAACUACGUG